AGAGAAUAGAUACCCAGGUAGUCCACGCCCUAAACGAUGGAUACUAGGCGUAGGAGGUAUCGACCCCUCCUGUGCCGCAGCAAACGCAUUAAGUAUCCCGCCUGGGGAGUACGGCCGCAAGGUUGAAACUCAAAUGAAUUGACGGGGACCCGCACAAGCGGUGGAGCAUGUGGAUUAAUUCGAUACUAACCGAAGAACCUUACCCACUCUUGACAUUGAAGGAAAGCUCUAGAGAUAGGGCCCUCUCCCACAAGGAGACCUGAAAACAGAUGUUGCAUGGCUGUCGUCAGCUCGUGCCGUGAGGUGUACGGUUAAGUCCGCCAACGAGCGCAACCCUCGUUCUGUGUUACCAGCGAGUAAAGUCGGGCACUCACAGGAGACCGCCGGUGUAAGCCGGAGGAAGGUGGGGAUGAUGUCAAGUCAGCAUGGCUCUUACGAGUGGGGCUUCACACAUGCUACAAUGGGCGCAACAAAGGGCCGCGAUACCGUGAGGUGGAGCAAAUCCCAAAAAUACGUCCUCAGUUCAGAUUGC
rnacentral:rRNA from 1 species